GCCUACGGCCAUGCUACCCUGAACAAGCUUGAAGCCGUCAGAUUCAGAAGCUAAGCAGGAUUAGGCCUGGUUAGUACUUGGAUGGGAGACCACCUAGGAAAACCAGGUGCCGUAGGUG
rnacentral:rRNA from 1 species